GACGUAGGGCGCGAGCGUUGUCCGGAUUUAUUGGGCGUAAAGAGCUCGUAGGCGGCUUGUUGCGUCGACCGUGAAAACCCGGGGCUCAACUUCGGGCUUGCGGUCGAUACGGGCGGGCUAGAGUUCGGUAGGGGAGACUGGAAUUCCUGGUGUAGCGGUGAAAUGCGUAGAUAUCAGGAGGAACACCGGUGGCGAAGGCGGGUCUCUGGGCCGGAACUGACACUGAGGAGCGAAAGCGUGGGUAGCAAACAGG
rnacentral:rRNA from 1 species